AUUUACAGAGUAAAUGUACUGUUUAAUAUUAAAGAAAUGAUUCAGUAUUUUAGUAGCAAAGUGCUUUCAGGUUAUUAACUAGCAUUAUGAUUUCUGUUCUACUGGUGUCACAAAUGAAGUUCUGCAGGCUGGUCAUUACCAAUUACUAAUAGAUUGAGCCUUAAAAAGGCUCAUUUUAAUAACUUCUUACUAUCCAGUUUUAAGUUUUUCAGUGCUGAGGGAAGCCUUGACACUCAGCAUUGACCACUGAGCAUUUUCCAGCGUUUAAAAUAUAUUGCUUAAGCAGGGUUCUUACCAGUAGUAAGGUCUCCAAGACUGUUGAUCCUUAUGCAUUAAUUUAUCAUUUGUAUCUUACAUAUAAAAUUUUUCUUAAUCAGUGUGUGAUGCACAGUGAUACAUGUGGGUGACUCCAGCUGGAAAUGAAUCCAGUGGCAUUUAGGAAAGAUGCUCUUUUAGAACAAGUUUGCACACUGGAAGGGGGGUGGAAGGAGGAGCAGAGCAGGGAAAUAGCAAUAAGGUGUACCACUGUAGGAAAACAUGCUUGUGAGUAAUUUGAAUGUAAAACUGGCACAGAUUUUUCAAGAUAAAAUUUUGUCAAUGUAUUUUCAAAA